CAAGCUGACCACUCACUGGGCAUUUCCUCAUCAAACGUUUUGUUGAUUUCAUGAACAGUUUCAGCUGCUUUACGUCCUUUUUUGAAGUUGAAUAUCAAAAUUGCUUGAAUAUCGCACUUUGACAUUUCCAUUUCAGAUGAUUGUAACAACGGUGUAAAAAAUAUCAAUGUUAAUUUAUUGAUGCAUUUGGGCAAGUCUAUGUCUGUAUUAUCAGAUAAUUGCAAAAAAAUUCAUAACUGAAAACCUGG